UACGGGGGGGGCAAGCGUUGUUCGGAAUUACUGGGCGUAAAGGGCUCGUAGGCGGCCAACUAAGUCAUACGUGAAAUCCCCCGGCUUAACCGGGGAACUGCGUCUGAUACUGGAUGGCUUGAGUUCGGGAGAGGGAUGCGGAAUUCCAGGUGUAGCGGUGAAAUGCGUAGAUAUCUGGAGGAACACCGGUGGCGAAGGCGGGUCUCUGGGCAGUAACUGACGCUGAGGAGCGAAAGCGUGGGGAGCGAACAGG
rnacentral:rRNA from 1 species